rnacentral:rRNA from 1 species
GAUGAACGCUAGCUACAGGCUUAACACAUGCAAGUCGAGGGGCAGCAUGGUCUUAGCUUGCUAAGGCCGAUGGCGACCGGCGCACGGGUGAGUAACACGUAUCCAACCUGCCGUCUACUCUUGGACAGCCUUCUGAAAGGAAGAUUAAUACAAGAUGGCAUCAUGAGUCCGCAUGUUCACAUGAUUAAAGGUAUUCCGGUAGACGAUGGGGAUGCGUUCCAUUAGAUAGUAGGCGGGGUAACGGCCCACCUAGUCUUCGAUGGAUAGGGGUUCUGAGAGGAAGGUCCCCCACAUUGGAACUGAGACACGGUCCAAACUCCUACGGGAGGCAGCAGUGAGGGAUAUUGGUCAAUGGGCGCAGGCCUGAACCAGCCAAGUAGCGUGAAGGAUGACUGCCCUAUGGGUUGUAACCUUCUUUUAUAAAGGAAUAAAGUCGGGUAUGUAUACCCGUUUGCAUGUACUUUAUGAAUAAGGAUCGGCUAACUCCGUG